AUCUUGUUGGAGAUCCCUGCCUUCCUGAGGUUUUCUGAAGGAUGUGCAAUGGCUGUGAAUGCAGCAAUGCUGUCCUAAAAGCUGACCUGGCUCAGGAGUUGCUGUGGCCAAGGAUGGUACUUUGAUGUGACCAUAGAAUUCCAAAAGUUGUGAGGAUGCAGUGAUGACCACUCUGGAUAGAUGCGUCACCACUUAGAAAGACAAUAAAGAAUGACCAGGCAAUACUCUUUGAAAAUUGGAGACCAUUUGCAGCUGCUCUCUGCUGAGGAAAGUGAAUAAUAGGGUGCCCUCAAGGAAUUUCAAAGAGAACAGGAUGAGAUGACAGCUUUUCUCAUGGCCCUGUUAAUAGUUUUUGCUAACAAGGAAAGGGGAAGGGAAUAAUUCUUUGCAAUAAUAUUGACUUCUGUGAUCUUGGCACCACUGUAUGAGUGGAAGCAGGAACUCUGGAGAAGCCAGAGCCAAACAUGAACCUCUUCUAGCAAUCACAAGCCGCAGUGGACUGUGAAUGUUUGAAGGACAGUAAGGAACCAAAUAAGCCUGGUUGAUUGAGUAUAUCUGAUCUGGAUAUAUGGACUCUCUGGGAGGCAGUUUAAAAGUAGGCAGUAUAACUUGCAUAGCUCAUCCUGUUAAAAUCAAGAGUUUUAUAAUGGAUUGAUCAAGACGUGGAGCUCAGCCAGAGCUGGGGGCUAUGGAACAGGAUCCAACUAAACAGUGAAUCACAAGACUAGUAUUUUUUUAAUGAUGACUUUCUUGUGGUUAUAAACCUUGUUACCAGCAAGUGAGGCUCUUUCCAAACCAGUAUAUUCUUCGAGGCAGAUUUCUGCAACUCUUUUCUUCCCAAGCUGUUCAGUCUGUCACAUGUGCCAUCAGGGUGCAGACUUCUCCAAGGAAAGGUGUAUGCUUGAGAAAAUUUUGUGUGACCCCAUGCUUCAAACAUACAAUCCUGUUUACAUAGAUAUCAGCAUGGAGGAAAUACAGGGAUUUAGAAAGGAAACAGAGAAAUACUUAUUUCACUGUAAAAAGUGACCUUGGAAAUGUGCAUAUCAAUUAACCAGCAUCUGCCAAGAAGUUAUUCUACAAACAGAAAACUAAAGAGCUUGCAGAAAUGUAUUUUUUUCUUUCUGAAAGAGAUGGCUGGAUGCCCAUAUGAAUACUAUAUCUCUACCAAAAAUGCGUAUUUCUUUAAAUCUUUUAUCAGAUUUACCAAGAUGAAAUUAGUCUUGAGUAAAAAUGCUAUUGAGAGCCAUGGAGAAUUGGGAAUAAGAAACUCCACAGUUGCAAAUGCUGGUUUAGUUCAUUUCACAUGAACUAAAGGUUGCUGAGAAAGAGCAGAACACUUGUCCCUCUGAAAUGUUUUUGUAACCCCUUCAAUACCCAGCCUUGAUUGAGAGAGGGCUGCAGACAUUCACUACAUGCCAAGUGGGAGAGAGAGAUGAAGGCUUUGAAGGAUCAGGGCUCAUCCAAUAGCAGCAACUAGCCCAGAGCUUUCGGUGGCAAUAGCUCUGAUUCUAUAUGGAAUGAGCAUAUGUACACUGCAUAUUUAGACAUGCUUAUCUUUGUUGGUUUGGUUCUGUAUGUCUUUUUAUUGCUGUUCAGUUGAGCUUUCUGAUAAAACUAAAUUGCAGGAAUUUGGCUCACCGAGCCUCCCAGUCCUGGAAUGAUGACUGCCCUAAGAAGAAGAGAAAGAAGGGAGAGUCAUUAAAGUGAGUGGUGAUCUUUCAAUUGG
ensembl:lncRNA